rnacentral:rRNA from 1 species
CAGUAGCCACGGGAACACAGAGGGUGCGAGCGUUAAUCGGAUUUACUGGGCGUAAAGCGUGCGUAGGCGGCUUCUUAAGUCGGAUGUGAAAUCCCUGAGCUUAACUUAGGAAUUGCAUUCGAUACUGGGAAGCUAGAGUAUGGGAGAGGAUGGUAGAAUUCCAGGUGUAGCGGUGAAAUGCGUAGAGAUCUGGAGGAAUACCGAUGGCGAAGGCAGCCAUCUGGCCUAAUACUGACGCUGAGGUACGAAAGCAUGGGGAGCAAACAGGAUUAGAUACCCCCGUAGUCCCUGUCUCUUAUAC